GGACUUAUGAUGAGAUAUGCUGACUAUGAGCAUGAUGAAGUGAAGCUCAAUAUGAUUUCUCUGAAUUCC
rnacentral:snoRNA from 12 species